UUUAUUUUGCAUCCUCACCUAAAAGUCAGAGGACGAGGAGGACGCAGUCGAGGUGGCUACCGAGGCGUCUCAUCGGGCAGAAGUACGAGCAAAGGCACUGGAAGGGGCAUUCCUUUCAAUGCUCAUCAUGCAGUCUCUGACUAUGAGUCAUCUACUUCAAGAGGGACACUAAAUGCUUCUGAACUCGACACUUUUCGUCAACUAUUGUCACAAUUGAACACCAAUGCAGCCAUACCCACAGCCAAUUCUGCUCAUGCAGGAUCUGGCGACAGGGAGGGUCCUUGGCAGUGGUAAAUUGGUCGAUGGACUUUAUGUCAUGGAAAGCAACUCUGUUUGUCAUUUGAACAGUUAUCAGGUGUCAUCUAAAUCUAAUCCUGUUUUAGAAUCUUUGUAUCAAUGGCAUAGACGAUUAGGUCAUCCAUCUUUUGGUGUUUUGGCACAUCUUUUUCCUAAAUUAGCAAGUAAAUGUAAUAAAGAAGAAUUUUUCUGUGAACCAUGUGAACUAGCCAAACAUAAGAGAUCAUCUUAUCCAUCUAAUAAUAAAAGGAGUUCUAAUCUUUUUUCAACUAUUCAUACCGAUGUUUGGGGUCCAUUUAGACAUCCUACACAUGAUGGGUAUAGAUGGUUUGUUGUCUUUGUUGAUUGUCAUUCUCGGCUUACUUGGGUAUAUCUUCUUAAACACAAAAGUGAAGUAUUCGAGUGUUUUAAAUCUUUUCACCACAUGAUCCAAACACAAUUUAAUGCUUCUGUUAAAAUUCUUCGGAGUGACAAUGGUACCGAGUAUCACGGACAAUUUACAUCUUAUUUGGACACAUAUGGUAUUAUUCAUCAAACUACAUGUGUUAAAACCUCUCAACAAAAUGGUGUUGCCGAAAGAAAAAUUGGUCACUUACAACAGGUUGCACGGUCUCUUAUGUUAACUAUGCAUGUUCCCAAAUAUCUUUGGGGGGGGGGCAGUUAUGACUGCU